rnacentral:rRNA from 1 species
CAAGAGCGUAUAUUAAAGUUGUUGCAGUUAAAAAGCUCGUAGUUGAAUUUCGGGUCCCCGCGCUCGGCGCUUCAUUGUGCCGUCGUGGUGUCCCUCCUCGCCGUAAGGCGUCCUUUACUGUGAAAAAAUUAGAGUGUUCAAAGCAGGCAAUCGCUUGAAUACAUUAGCAUGGAAUAAUAAGAUAGGAUCUUGUCUAUUUUGUUGGUUGCGGACAACGAUAAUGAUUAAUAGGGAUAGUUGGGGGUGUCCGUAUUGAGCUGUCAGAGGUGAAAUUCUUGGAUUUGCUCAAGACGAACUACUGCGAAAGCAUUCACCAAGGAUGUUUNCAUUA